UAGGGAAUCUUCGGCAAUGGACGGAAGUCUGACCGAGCAACGCCGCGCGAGUGAAGAAGGUUUUCGGAUCGUAAAGCUCUGUUGUUAGAGAAGAACGUUGGUAGGAGUGGAAAAUCUACCAAGUGACGGUAACUAACCAGAAAGGGACGGCUAACUACGUGCCAGCAGCCGCGGUAAUACGUAGGUCCCGAGCGUUGUCCGGAUUUAUUGGGCGUAAAGCGAGCGCAGGCGGUUCUUUAAGUCUGAAGUUAAAGGCAGUGGCAUAACCAUUGUACGCUUUGGAAACUGGAGGACUUGAGUGCAGGAGGGGAGAGUAGAAUUCCAUGUGUAGCGGUAAAAUGCAUAGAUAUAUGGGGGAACACCGGUGGAGAAAGCGGCUCUCUGGUCUGUAACAGGCGCUGGGACUCGAGAGCGUGGAGAGAAAACAGG
rnacentral:rRNA from 1 species